GGGAAUGUAGCUUAGUGGUAAAGUGCUUGCCUAGCAUACAUGAAGCCCUGGGUUCAAUCCCUCAAUACCA
rnacentral:tRNA from 1 species